rnacentral:rRNA from 1 species
GACAGAGGGUGCGAACGUUGUUCGGAAUUACUGGGCGUAAAGCGCGUGUAGGCGGCAGCGCAAGUCGGGCGUGAAAUCCCACGGCUCAACCGUGGAAGUGCACUCGAAACUGCGCAGCUAGAGUCCUGGAGAGGAAGGUGGAAUGCUUGGUGUAGAGGUGAAAUUCGUAGAUAUCAAGCGGAACACCGGUGGCGAAGGCGGCCUUCUGGACAGUGACUGACACUGAGACGCGAAAGCGUGGGGAGCAAACAGG